GACGAACGCUGGCGGCGUGCUUAACACAUGCAAGUCGAACGGAAAGGCCCUGCUUUUGUGGGGUGCUCGAGUGGCGAACGGGUGAGUAACACGUGAGUAACCUGCCCUUGACUUUGGGAUAACUUCAGGAAACUGGGGCUAAUACCGGAUAGGAGCUCCUGCUGCAUGGUGGGGGUUGGAAAGUUUCGGCGGUUGGGGAUGGACUCGCGGCUUAUCAGCUUGUUGGUGGGGUAGUGGCUUACCAAGGCUUUGACGGGUAGCCGGCCUGAGAGGGUGACCGGCCAGAUUGGGACUGAGCUACGGCCCAGACUACUACGGGAGGCAGCAGUGGGGAAUAUUGCACAAUGGGCGGAAGCCUGAUGCAGCAACGCCGCGUGCGGGAUGACGGCCUUCGGGUUGUAAACCGCUUUCGCCUGUGACGAAGCGUGAGUGACGGUAAUGGGUAAAGAAGCACCGGCUAACUACGUG
rnacentral:rRNA from 1 species